CCUCCUCUCCCGAUUUCCCCCGACGCCGUGCAUUAAUCGUCCUUCCUCAACCGACGUGCCACCGACGCCGGUGUCAUUUCCUCUCUUCCUCUCCGGUACAAAGGCAGUAGCUGAGGGAAGCUUUGAGUCUCUCCUCUCCUCUUCCCCCAUCUAUGCUUCCUGUCCUCUCCACACAAUCUUCUUUGCACCGAGGUUGUGCCCUAGCCUCUCCCCACACCGCCGAGCCAUCGUCGCCUGAUUCAGCCAUUUUCCUGAGCCCUAGGUUGGGUUCACAACCGACCGUUUCCUCCUCCCUGGGCUCGCGACACCGCCGCCUCUUCUCCCGAUCGUCGGCGUGAAGAGGCGACUAGGGUUCCGAGGAUCUUUGAUUUUUCUUUCCUUGCUGUGAUAGAAGUCUCGAUUGAAGGAGGAAGAUUUUGGAUCGGUUCUUGCUGUUUUCCCCUAAUCAGAGCAUGGAUUUCUUCAUCCUUACGGAGGAAAUUUAGGGCUACUAGUUGGAGGUAAGUGCCUUGGCUAGCUGUGGAUUUGGGUUUGAUUCUCUGUUGUGGGUGUGGACUGCCGCUAGGGAUUCGUUGACUAAGAAGAAAGAAAGGGUUGAAUUGGAGAAUUGGAUUUGGAGAUCAGCAAUUUUCUCAGGCCGACUAUAAUUUUCAGCAGUGGGCUGAUACAAGAGCAAACGACUAUAGGACAUUGGUUCGAGACGAGCACUUCGACGUGGUGAUUGUUUAGCUCGGUCUACAUUUGAGG